rnacentral:rRNA from 1 species
AUUGAACGCUGGCGGCAGGCCUAACACAUGCAAGUCGAGCGGCAGCGGGAAAGUAGCUUGCUACUUUUGCCGGCGAGCGGCGGACGGGUGAGUAAUGCCUGGGAAAUUGCCCAGUCGAGGGGGAUAACAGUUGGAAACGACUGCUAAUACCGCAUACGCCCUACGGGGGAAAGCAGGGGACCUUCGGGCCUUGCGCGAUUGGAUAUGCCCAGGUGGGAUUAGCUAGUUGGUGAGGUAAUGGCUCACCAAGGCGACGAUCCCUAGCUGGUCUGAGAGGAUGAUCAGCCACACUGGAACUGAGACACGGGCCAGACUCCUACGGGUGGCAGCAGUGGGGAAUAUUGCACAAUGGGGGAAACCCUGAUGCAGCCAUGCCGCGUGUGUGAAGAAGGCCUUCGGGUUGUAAAGCACUUUCAGCGAGGAGGAAAGGUUGGUGCCUAAUACGUAUCAACUGUGACGUUACUCGCAGAAGAAGCACCGGCUAACUCCGUGCCAGCCGCCGCCGUAAGAC